UGACGGAGCACGCCGCGUGAGUGAUGAAGGUUUUCGGAUCGUAAAGCUCUGUUGUUAGGGAAGAACAAGUGCGAGAGUAACUGCUCGCACCUUGACGGUACCUAACCAGAAAGCCACGGCUAACUACGUGCCAGCAGCCGCGGUAAUACGUAGGUGGCAAGCGUUGUCCGGAAUUAUUGGGCGUAAAGGGCUCGCAGGCGGUUUCUUAAGUCUGAUGUGAAAGCCCCCGGCUCAACCGGGGAGGGUCAUUGGAAACUGGGAAACUUGAGUGCAGAAGAGGAGAGUGGAAUUCCACGUGUAGCGGUGAAAUGCGUAGAGAUGUGGAGGAACACCAGUGGCGAAGGCGACUCUCUGGUCUGUAACUGACGCUGAGGAGCGAAAGCGUGGGGAGCGAACAGGAUUAGAUACCCUGGUAGUCCACGCCGUAAACGAUGAGUGCUAAGUGUUAGGGGGUUUCCGCCCCUUAGUGCUGCAGCUAACGCAUUAAGCACUCCGCCUGGGGAGUACGGUCGCAAGACUGAAACUCAAAGGAAUUGACGGGGGCCCGCACAAGCGGUGGAGCAUGUGGUUUAAUUCGAAGCAACGCGAAGAACCUUACCAGGUCUUGACAUCCUCUGACAACCCUAGAGAUAGGGCUUUCCCUUCGGGGACAGAGUGACAGGUGGUGCAUGGUUGUCGUCAGCUCGUGUCGUGAGAUGUUGGGUUAAGUCCCGCAACGAGCGCAACCCUUGAUCUUAGUUGCCAGCAUUCAGUUGGGCACUCUAAGGUGACUGCCGGUGACAAACCGGAGGAAGGUGGGGAUGACGUCAAAUCAUCAUGCCCCUUAUGACCUGGGCUACACACGUGCUACAAUGGAC
rnacentral:rRNA from 1 species